rnacentral:rRNA from 1 species
AUUGAACGCUGGCGGCAAGCCUUACACAUCCAAGUCGAACGCUACACAGAGAGCUUGCUCUCGGGUGCCGAGUUGCCGACGGGUGAGUAAUGUCUGGGAAACUGCCUGAUGGAGGGGGAUAACUACUGGAAACGGUAGCUAAUACCGCAUAACGUCACAAGCCAAAAGAGGGGGACCUUCGGGCCUCUUGCCAUCAGAUGUGCCCAGAUGGGAUUAGCUAGUAGGUGGGGUAACGGCUCACCCUAGGCGACGAUCCCUAGCUGGUCUGAGAGGAUGACCCAGCCACACUGGAAACUGAGACACGGUCCAGACUCCUACGGGAGGCAGCAGUGGGGAAUAUUGCACAAUGGGCGCAAGCCUGAUGCAGCCAUGCCGCGUGUAUGAAGAAGGGCCUUCGGGUUGUAAAGUGCUUUCAGCGGGGAGGAAGGUGUUGUGGUUAAUAACCACAGCAAUUGACGUUACCCGCAGAAGAAGCACCGGCUAACUCCGUGCCAGCAGCCGCGGUAAUACGGAGGGUGCAAGCGUUAAUCGGAAUUACUGGGCGUAAAGCGCACGCAGGCGGUCUGUCAAGUCGGAUGUGAAAUCCCCGGGCUCAACCUGGGAACUGCAUUCGAAACUGGCAGGCUAGAGUCUUGUAGAGGGGGGUAGAAUUCCAGGUGUAGCGGUGAAAUGCGUAGAGAUCUGGAGGAAUACCGGUGGCGAAGGCGGCCCCCUGGACAAAGACUGACGCUCAGGUGCGAAAGCGUGGGGAGCAAACAGG